rnacentral:siRNA from 1 species
UCAAACCAAAAGCCCUACAUCUCU